rnacentral:sRNA from 1 species
GCACCGUCUGCGUCCUGCUGUCCUUCCCCUUCAUCUUCAGCCCCUGCCUGGGCUGUGGGGCGGCCACGCCCGAGUGGGCUGCCCUCCUCUACUACGGCCCGUUCAUCGUGAUCUUCCAGUUUGGCUGGGCCUCCACACAGAUCUCCCACCUCAGCCUCAUCCCGGAGCUCGUCACCAACGACCAUGAGAAGGUGGAGCUCACGGCACUCAGAACCUGUCCCUGCUGGUGGUGGGUGUCGGCGCCGUGUUCUCACUGCUGUUCCACCUGGGCACCCGGGAGAGGCGCCGGCCGCGUGUGGAGGAGCCAGGCGAGCACACCCCCC